rnacentral:rRNA from 1 species
UACGGAGGGGGUUAGCGUUGUUCGGAAUUACUGGGCGUAAAGCGCACGUAGGCGGAUUAGUAAGUUAGUGGUGAAAUCCCAGGGUCAACCUGGAACUGCCUUUAAUACUGCUAGUCUUGAGUUCGAGAGAGGUAAGUGGAAUUCCGAGUGUAGAGGUGAAAUUCGUAGAUAUUCGGAGGAACACCAGUGGCGAAGGCGGCUUACUGGCUCGAUACUGACGCUGAGGUGCGAAAGUGU